UACGUAGGGUGCAAACGUUGCUCGGAAUCAUUGGGCGUAAAGCGCACGUAGGCGGCUUCGCAAGUCGGAUGUGAAAUCCCUCGGCUCAACCAAGGACGUGCAUCCGAAACUGCGAAGCUUGAGUACAGAAGAGGAUCGCGGAAUUCCCGGUGUAGAGGUGAAAUUCGUAGAUAUCGGGAGGAACACCAGUGGCGAAGGCGGCGAUCUGGGCUGAUACUGACGCUGAGGUGCGAAAGCGUGGGGAGCAAACAGG
rnacentral:rRNA from 1 species